rnacentral:ncRNA from 1 species
UAAUUUAAUUAGCAAACCGCCGGAAACGGCGGGACGCAAAGCUAUGGGGACUUAGACGCUUGAAGCGUGAUGUCAGCCCGGCUGCUAAU